UGCGGAGGGAUCAUUACAGGA
rnacentral:rRNA from 1 species